GUAAUAAAUUCAGGGUGGCAAGUUGAGGCUGGGGAACCACCACCCCCUCCCCCCCUGCCCCAUGCAAACACAGCCCCCCGGGAGAGCCGGGCGGCCGCUGCCGCUCUCGCUCGUUUUGAGCCCGGCGUUCAAUUUCUCGAAACGAGGACGGAAGGAAGCAACAAAUGGGAAGGAAACGGGCCUGCUUGUGAAAUCCAAAACCGGAUCGAAAGAAAAAAAAAAAAGGCACAAGUCUUGGCAGCACCGAGGACCCAGCUAGUGCCGUGGCACCCGGCUGUGGCAGCGCGGCGAGCCCCCGGCUGCAGGGGCCAAGGCAGCAGCCCGCUUUCAUGGGAGCCCAAAAAGUAAAUGAACAGCAGCAGCAGCAGCAGCGAGGAAAAGGCUGUCGCAUCACCCUGGUGCUCGCCAAAGGCGCGCCACCCCCGUGGAUUUGAAGAAAUAAGUCUUUCUAGGGGGUUUAUAUAAUUUUAAGGGGUCUCGUUUUUCCUUCUAAGCCACUUUCCUGCUUAUUUUCUCUAUUUCUGGCCACAGUUCAGCAGCUCGUCAGAAGGUGGGCUAGUCCCUCAUUGCAGAUUCAAACGCGCUUCUGUGCCAAAUUGACCUGCUGUUAUCCCCCCUUUCAGCUACUGUAACCAACACCGCACAAACAAUGAAUUAUGAGAUUAGAGUUACAGAAAAAUGGCCUCAUUCUGCAGAUGUUGUGUCUGGAACCGGCUGCUGCAGGGCCUCGUGUUUGUUGUGACAUCUUCCUCGCUCCCCCUCUUCCUCCUCCUCCUCACAGCCCCACCUUCGCCGGGUGAUGCGUGCCAGGGACUGUGUUAUGUGAAGGGUUAAUUAGCAGCUUCCAACCCUGCCCCCCCUCCCCCCCCCCCCCAAAAAAAAGAUGGAAAAAGAGAGGAAAC